rnacentral:lncRNA from 1 species
UUAAAAUUAUUUUAGAAAAUUUGAAAAAAAAUUGCAACUCAGUCCGUCGCCAGCGCCGUUGUCUUUUCCGGCGUCGCCACCAUAAAGUCACUGUUAGUCGACACAUCCCACACCAACAGAUCGGAAAUUCAACAAUCUAUCUAAAGGUGGUGUUUGAUUUAGAAAAUAACAAAUGAUGGAGGCGCACGCGCAUCGCAAAGAUCCGCGGCCACCACAUGGUCGUCGCACGUUUGCAGCGCGUGCACCGUCGUUCUUCGUGAUUACUGUUGAUCGCUUCCAUAUUUGUAUAGAUCAUGUAGUUUCCAAUAUUUUUAUGUCAGCGGUGUCAACAUUGGAUGAAGUUUUACUGCCGGCGACGGAAUAACGGUGGUUCCGGCGGUGGAACAAUGUCAACUGUGAAUUUUUCUAAAUUUUCAAAACUUAAAAUAUUUUUCUAUAAUUUUGCUGUGGGGGUAUAUUUGACAAUAAAUAUUUUAGUUGAGGAC